rnacentral:rRNA from 1 species
GUGCCAGCCGCCGCGGUAAUACGUAGGGGCCAAGCGUUGUCCGGAUUUAUUGGGCGUAAAGAGCUCGUAGGUGGUUCGGCAAGUCAGUUGUGAAAUCUCCGCGCUCAACGCGGAGGGGUCAGCUGAAACUGCUGUGACUUGAGUCUGGUAGGGGAGUGUGGAAUUCCCGGUGUAGCGGUGAAAUGCGCAGAUAUCGGGAGGAACACCAGUGGCGAAGGCGGCACUCUGGGCCAGUACUGACACUGAGGAGCGAAAGCGUGGGGAGCGAACAGGAUUAGAUACCCCUGUAGUCC